rnacentral:rRNA from 1 species
AACGAACGCUGGCGGCGUGCCUAACACAUGCAAGUCGAACGGAAGUAGCAAUACUUUAGUGGCGCACGGGUGAGUAAUGCAUGGGUAAUCUGCCCUGAGGAUUGGGAUAGCUACGCGAAAGUGUAGGUAAUACCGGAUAAGCUGCAGUUAUAAUUUAAUUGCAGGAAUGGCUAGCCGCAAGGCCGGCGCCUUAGGAUGAGCUCAUGUCCUAUUAGCUAGUUGGCGGGGUAACGGCCCACCAAGGCGAAGAUGGGUAACUGGUCUGAGAGGACGAUCAGUCACACUGGAACUGAGACACGGUCCAGACUCCUACGGGAGGCAGCAGUGGGAAUAUUGCACAAUGGAGGAACUCUGAUGCAGCAACGCCGCGUGAGUGAUGAAGGCCUUC